rnacentral:sRNA from 1 species
AGCAGCCGCGGUAAUUCCAGCUCCAAUAGCGUAUAUUAAAGUUGUUGCAGUUAAAAAGCUCGUAGUUGAAUUUCGGGAUCAAUAUGUUGGUCGUGCCUUGGUACGUACUGGCAUUAUCGAUUCCUACCUUCUGAAGAAUCUCGAUGUCAUUAAUUUGGUGUCUUGGGGAAUCAGGACUGUUACUUUGAAAAAAUUAGAGUGUUUAAAGCAGGCUCGCGCUUGAAUACAUUAGCAUGGAAUAAUGAAAUAGGACGUUUGAUUCUAUUUUGUUGGUUUCUAGGAUUGACGUAAUGAUUAAUAGGGAUAGUUGGGGGGCAUUAGUAUUCAAUUGUCAGAGGUGAAAUUCUUGGAUUUAUUGAAGACUAACUACU